rnacentral:miRNA from 1 species
UAGGUUGGUGCAAAAGUGAUUGUGGUUUCUGGCAUACUUUUAAUGGGAAAACCACAAUUACUUUUGCACCAACUUAA